CGGCACGCGGAGGCCGGGGAGCGGCGCUGACGCGGCCAGGAACGGCCACGGCGCGGGCGAACGUGGCCACGGCCGGCGACGAGGGCGCGAGGUGCGGCAAGUUUUAAGGCCUGGUGCUCUCGGUUACGAGCGUGCUGAUAACGUGUUUAGAGUAGAACGAGAGACAAAACAAAAUGAUUCAAGUGUCAUCUUUAUCGAUCAUGUUCAAGUAUAUAUACAAUCGCGAAGGAUGCAUCC
rnacentral:rRNA from 1 species